rnacentral:rRNA from 1 species
AGAGUUUGAUCCUGGCUCAGGACGAACGCUGGCGGUGCGCCUUAUGCAUGCAAGUUGAGCGAAGCUUUUCAGUAGUUUACUACAGAAAAUGACUGAGCGGCGAACGGGUGAGUAACGCGUGAGCAAUCUACCUUAGUUACUGGGAUAGCCCGAGGAAACUCGGAUUAAUACCGGAUAUUCUUAUUUUUUCACAUGAAGUUUUAAGGAAAGGUCAGCCGAACUAAGAUGAGCUCGCGUUCUAUCAGCUAGUUGGUGGGGUAAAAGCCUACCAAGGCAACGACGGAUAGCUGGUCUGAGAGGACGAUCAGCCACACUGGGACUGAGACACGGCCCAGACUCCUACGGGAGGCUGCAGCAGGGAAUAUUGUGCAAUGAGCGAAAGCUUGACACAGCGACACCGCGUGUGGGAUGACGGUUCUAGGAUUGUAAACCACUUUCAGGAGGGAAGAAAAUGACGGUACCUCCACAAGAAGACCCGGCCAACUAUGUGCCAGCAGCCGCGGUAAU